UGUAAGUAUAAACAACUUGUACUUGUGAAACUGCGAAUGGCUCAUUAAAUCAGUUAUAAUUUAUUUGAUAGUGGCAUUACUACAUGGAUAGCCGUAGUAAUUCUAGAGCUAAUACAUGCGUAAGGGGCUGACUCUAAUUAUGGGGGAAGUCUGUAUUUAUUAGAUCGAAAGAAACCGAUUGCAUUGUGUGUUUCUCAGUUGUGCUUGUAAGGAUGAGUGAAAGGAGAUUGCUUCUCUAUAAACCUUUCUGUUACAGGAAAGGGGAGGGUGUUUCUUGUUUGCUCUCUGGUUAUGAGUGUGGCUGGGAGUUAUAAAAGACAUGCGAUGUAUCCCUUCCAGUCAAAUGGGGGGGAAAACAAGUUUUAUGAGGAAUCAUGAUAAAAAGUCGAAUCGGGGAUCAAGUUUCCCGAUGUGUCAUUCAAAUUUCUGCCCUAUCAACUGUUUGAUGGUAGGAUAGAGGCCUACCAUGGUUUUGACGGGUAACGGAGAAUUAGGGUUCGAUUCCGGAGAGGGAGCCUGAGAAAUGGCUACCACUUCCAAGGAAGGCAGCAGGCGCGCAAAUUACCCAAUCCCGAUAACAUUUUGGGGAGGUAGUGACAAAAAAUAACAAUGCAUUGGCACUUUCAGUGUGAUGUAAUUGGAAUGGCUGGGAUGUAAAUGCUCCCAGGAGUAACAAUUAGAGGGCAAGUCUGGUGCCAGCAGCCGCGGUAAUUCCAGCUCUAAUAGUGUAUACUAAAAUUGCUGCAGUUAAAAAGCUCGUAGUUGGAUUUUGGAGGGGACAUAAUAUGCUUUUAUGAAGGUUUUUGAAACGUGCCGGCAAGUUCGGUAACACGGGCUUGUGUCAAAUAUGGUGUUUCCCUUUAAUCUACGGUUCUGUUUUGAUAUUAUCCUUAUUUCGAAUACAUAACAACACUUGAGCUCUGUGCCUCAUUGUAAACCUCUUUUGCCAGGCUUAAAAAUGCUUUAGGUUAAUCUUUUGUCUUUGAUGCCCCUGAAUAAGGGAAACAAGAAGGGGAGAGAUCCUGGAGUGUUUCUGGUAGAAUGUUUUUGAGGCAAUAACAACAGAGUGAUUUUAUCAAGAGUUGGGGGUUUUAUCGUUAGAAACAAAACGGUAGCAUAAAAGUUGUUUCUUCCGGAUUUGUUUUUCGAAGUAUAGUCUUCCCCUUAAGUGUGGAAUUUGAGGAUUAUAAUUCGGAGAGUUUACUUUGAAGAAAAUGGAGUGUUCAAAGCAGGCGAUUUAUCGCAACUGAACACAUUAGCAUGGAAUAAUAAAAUAGGACACUUGAGGGAAGAUGAGUUUGAAUGGGUCAAAUCACAAAAAAGUUGAUAUACUUUUGUAUUCUUCUUUUUUUGAUCCAUUGUGUUUGUUAAAUGAUCUUUCCUUUACAUUACAAAAGCAGGCAUUUGAAAGAAGGAGAAAUGAAUUCAAAAGUUAAUCAUUAAUGUAGAGUCAAAUCUAUUGUUUUUGAUCUUUUGUCGUCAUUCUUCGAGUCGCGUUUGUCUGUUGUAAUUCUAUUUUGUUGGUUUGUAGAACAAGUGUAAUGAUUAAGAGGGACAGUUGGGGGCAUCCGUAUUGCGCGGCUAGAGGUAAAAUUCUUGGAUCCACGCAAGACGAACUAGUGCGAAAGCAUUUGCCAAGGAUGUUUUCAUUAAUCAAGAACGAAAGUUAAGGGAUCGAAGGCGAUCAGAAACCGCCCUAGUCUUAACUAUAAACGAUGCCAACUAGGGAUUGGAGGGAAGCUUUAUUAUAUAUAGCCCCGUCAGGACCUUUUCAGAGAAAUCUUAAGUCUCUGGGUUCUGGGGGGAGUAUGGUCGCAAGUCUGAAACUUAAAGAAAUUGACGGAAGGGCACCACCAGAUGUGGAGCCUGCGGCUUAAUUUGACUCAACACGGGGAAACUUACCAGGUCCAGACGCGGGAAGGAUUGACAGAUUGAUAGUUUUUUCUUGAUUCCGUGGGUGGUGGUGCAUGGUCGUUCUUAGUUGGUGGAGUGAUUUGUCUGGUUAAUUCCGAUAACGAACGAGACCUCAACUAGUUAACUAGCCGAGAAAGUUUUUAAAGAUUCUCUAUUCUUUCAUUCCAAACUCUUGGUGUCAUUUGAAGGGAUUUCUUGUAACAGAGGAGUUUCUUCUGGGCAUUGAGGGGGAAGGGUAGAGAGAAACUUUUUUGUUUCUAAUGUUUGUUGGAGUUUUAGUCAUCUUUUGAUUUUAUCCUUUCUUUUUGUUUUGUUGUGAGGAAUCAUGGCAAGAUGAAAGGGAAGGAGGUCAGGAGGUGAUGAUCUGAUGAAUGUUGGAAAGUUCUCUUGGGGUUAAACAAAGAGAUGAUAUGCUUGCUUCUUUUGCUUUGUUCUUCUUCACGGGAGAGUAAAGUGGGGGAAGUGUAGUGGUUGUUUCUUUCCCAAGGGGGUUGGCUUCUUAAAAGGACUACCUUAGUUGCAUGAGGUGGAAGCAUGAGGCAAUAACAGGUCUGUGAUGCCCUUAGAUGUCCUGGGCCGCACGCGCGCUACACUGAUUGAUUCAACAAGUUUAAUGUCAACUCUAUAUUGAUCUAAGUAAGAGUGUUGAUUGUGAGGCGCAUCAUUGAAAGAUGUGUGUGUCUGGCAGUUUGUGCUGACUGCUUUUAAUCCUCAUAGCUCAAAAGGCUUGGGGAGUCAGGGGUUGAUUUUCCUUGCCCGAAAGGGUUGGGUAAUCUUUUGAAAGUCGAUCGUGAUGGGGAUUGACCUUUGUAAUUAUUGGUCAUGAACGAGGAAUACCUAGUAAGUGCAAGUCAUCAGCUUGCGCUGAUUACGUCCCUGCCCUUUGUACACACCGCCCGUCGCUCCUACCGAUUGAAUGAUGAGAUGAAAUGUUCGGAUUGUUGAUUUGCAGGGGUGUUUUCUGAAUAUCCUGGUGAAUUUGAUGAGAAGAGCAGUGAAUCUUAGCAUUUA
rnacentral:rRNA from 1 species